AUGUGUCCCAGGUGUCCCCUCACUGUCCCCAAAGUGUCUCCAGAUGUCCCUCAGUGUCCCCAAAUUGUCCCUGAGUGUUCCCAAAUGUCUCUCAACAUCCCCAGUGCCUUCAGUGUUCCCUCGCUGUGUCCCCGCAGUGUCCCUGGCCCCGCUGGUGAUGCAGCUCCAGGCCCUCAGUGCCGCCAUCCUUGGGGACACUGGGGACAUCGGGGACCCUGCGGUGCCAGCGCCCCUCUGGGCACACCGGUGACAUCUUCGGGAACACAGUUGGCAUGCAAUAACCCAUUGGGACCGCAGGUGAUGCGCGAUGACGACAACAGAGACCCUUCACUACAAUGGACUGCCCUUGAUGACAGUGGAGACCCUUCAUGUCUGUGGUUGGCCUUUGAUGACAAUGGAGAUCCUUCAUGGCCAUGGCUGAUGAUGAUGAUGAUAAAGCAAAAGUCCCAUCAACACCACGGAUGGCCUCAUCUCCAUCAUGGACAUUCCACAAUGAUGAUGACCCUUCAUGAGCACAAAUGGUCACUGACGAUGGCAAUGAAGACCCUUCACGACCACAUAUGGUCCAUGAUGAUGACGAUGACGAAGGCAAAGACCCAUCGAGACCAUGGAAGGACCCAUCAUGGCCAUGGAUGGUCUUUGGUGAUGACAAUGACGGUGAAGACCCAUCAAGGCCACGCAUGGAAUCACGACCAUCACAGACAUUCCGCGAUGAUGACCCUUAAUGACCACAGAUGUUCCUGGACAAGGAUGGCCAUGACCCAUCAUGACCAUGAAGUUCUGUGACGGUGCCAAUGGCGAUGACCCGUCAUGAGCAUGAACGUUCCAUGAUGAUGACAGUGCCUCCCCAUGACCCCAGCCAGCCCCAUCCCCCUCCAGCUCCCGCUGGAUCUGCAAGCACGGCUCCACCACGUGCCACAUCUGCAGCGUGCUGGCCACCAUCAAACCCCACCUGGAACCCUCCAGGAGCCCCCAGAUCCUCCCCAGGAUCCCCAAAAGCUGUCCUAGAACUUCCAGGAUCCCUUGGGACCUCCCAAGCCCACCCAGGACCACUCUAGGUCCUCCAGGACCCCCCAAAUUCCCCCCAGGACCCUCCUGAACCCCCAGAUCCCCUCGGGAACCCCAAAUCCUCCCCAGAACCACCAACUCCCCCUAGGGCCCUGUUUUUGUAAUGUCUCAAAUUGGGAUUAAAAGUUGACUUUCCAGGAAAUUCAUGGGGUUUUGAUGGUAAAAAAAGGACUUCGCUGGAAAAUCAACGUUUUAUCCCAAUCUGAAGCAUUAAAAUCCAGGAAUUUCCUGGAAAAUCAACUUGUUAUGCCAAUUUGGGACAUUAAAAACUGAGAAUUCCUUGGGAAAUCAAUUUUUUAUCUCAGGUUGGGACAUCUGGGGAGUCCUAAGUCCCACUUUUGGGGAUUUCUAUGUAAUUCCCAGUAUUUAAGAGGUUCUCAGACCUCGCCGCCUCAAUGGCCACGCCCCUUUCUGCAAUCCAACCAAUCAGAGCUUGGGGCGGAACCUGGGGGCACAGCCUGGGAGGGCAGGGGGUGGUGAUUGAGGUCCCAGAAGGUAAUUGGGGUCCUGGAAGGGGAAAUGUAGCCUUGCGAGUGGGGGACUCAGAGUCCUGGCUGGGGAAAUGAAGGUCCUGAGGGGCUAAAUGGGGUCUUGGAAGGAUAAAUGAGGGUUCUGAAGGGUUCAGUGGGGUCCUACAGAUGGAAUUCACAACCCUUGUUUAAGCUGCCAGGACCCCCAUUUACCCCCUUGGCACCCCAGUUUAGCCUUUCAUGACCCU
rnacentral:lncRNA from 1 species